GACCUUUCGCUGCUUCUUGACGGAAGCCUCCCACGGUCCCCAGUCGGCCACCCUCACACGCCCACGCCACACGCACACACACCCGCUGGAGGACAGCUAGCCAUGGAUUCAUCGAAUAAUAAGAAACCGUCGAAUCUCUGCUGCGGCGCUGGCAACGGCGUCGCACCCACCGCUACUUUCAAGACUGUAGAGCUCUUCUCGGCGAGCGCCCUGGGCGACCCGUUCGGACGGCGGCCCUGACACCGCUAUCAAGAGCCGUAGUCCCGGCGCCGCGGCAACCCCGCAGGGCCUGCAAGUUCGUGUGAGAGACGACCUGCAGAUUUCUUCCGUUUCCCUUUCCCUUUCAUCUGUAUCGCGCUCCUCGGCCCCCUUCAUCCCGAUCGACGACUCGACCCCUCCCCCCGCCUACUCGACCAUCUUCCCCCCUUCGCCUCCCCUGUCGGCCGCGUCCACCUCGCCGUCCGACUCGCUCCUCAUCACGCGCUACGCGACCGCCGCCAACACCAAGUCGGUCGCCGCGCCCGCCCUCCUCUCGUCGCCCGCGAGCGAGCUCUCGUUCUCCCCGCUCGACCUCGCCGGGCGCUCUGCCCCGACUCUCGACGGCGGACCGUCCUCCUCCCUCCUCGACGCCAUCUUCCCCGCCCACGCCUCGAUCCACGACCUCCCGUCGUUCGACGUCAAGGUCGAUGACCUCCUCGGUUCAGGCUGGUCGGGCUGCAUCCUCGACAACCCCCUCACCGGCACGCGCACGCUGUACGUCGGCGGCGGGCGGUAUGAGGACGUUGAGUUGCGCGACAGCGUCGUCGACGUUAUCGACCGCGCCGAAGAGGAGUACGGAUGCCAGAGUGUCGUUCUUGCGCUCAGGAAGGAUGGCGCCGAGGACCUCGGAGCGCUCGUCCACCAGCUCUUGUACAUCGGUUGCACGGUCGUCAGCAACUAUGACGAGACUGGUGUCCCCAACGACGAGUACCUCCUUCUCGGCAUGGAGAUCUGAGCGACCAACCUUCGCCCCGUCUGAGCGACCAACCUUCGCCCCUCACCUCCCCCUCUCGAACGCCUUCGUCGAUCCCCUUUCUUCGCUUCGUCGCUUGUAACCCUACCACCCGAAACCACCACGUAACGGCUCGUCUCCCCUUCCCCUCAAGAGAAAAAAACCCACAAAAACAUUUCUCGACUCCGACUUGCCCUUUCCACACCCCCUACCAACGCUUCUUUUGGCCGAGGAGCUUUCUGUUCUGUUAUUCUACCUUUGUUUCG
rnacentral:misc_RNA from 1 species